GGGUUGUGAGGUUAAGCGACUAAGCGUACACGGUGGAUGCCCUGGCAGUCAGAGGCGAUGAAGGACGUGCUAAUCUGCGAUAAGCGUCGGUAAGGUGAUAUGAACCGUUAUAACCGGCGAUUUCCGAAUGGGGAAACCCAGUGUGUUUCGACACACUAUCAUUAACUGAAUCCAUAGGUUAAUGAGGCGAACCGGGGGAACUGAAACAUCUAAGUACCCCGAGGAAAAGAAAUCAACCGAGAUUCCCCCAGUAGCGGCGAGCGAACGGGGAGCAGCCCAGAGCCUGAAUCAGUGUGUGUGUUAGUGGAAGCGUCUGGAAAGGCGUGCGAUACAGGGUGACAGCCCCGUACACAAAAAUGCACAUAUUGUGAGCUCGAUGAGUAGGGCGGGACACGUGGUAUCCUGUCUGAAUAUGGGGGGACCAUCCUCCAAGGCUAAAUACUCCUGACUGACCGAUAGUGAACCAGUACCGUGAGGGAAAGGCGAAAAGAACCCCGGCGAGGGGAGUGAAAAAGAACCUGAAACCGUGUACGUACAAGCAGUGGGAGCACGCUUAGGCGUGUGACUGCGUACCUUUUGUAUAAUGGGUCAGCGACUUAUAUUCUGUAGCAAGGUUAACCGAAUAGGGGAGCCGAAGGGAAACCGAGUCUUAACUGGGCGUUAAGUUGCAGGGUAUAGACCCGAAACCCGGUGAUCUAGCCAUGGGCAGGUUGAAGGUUGGGUAACACUAACUGGAGGACCGAACCGACUAAUGUUGAAAAAUUAGCGGAUGACUUGUGGCUGGGGGUGAAAGGCCAAUCAAACCGGGAGAUAGCUGGUUCUCCCCGAAAGCUAUUUAGGUAGCGCCUCGUGAAUUCAUCUCCGGGGGUAGAGCACUGUUUCGGCAAGGGGGUCAUCCCGACUUACCAACCCGAUGCAAACUGCGAAUACCGGAGAAUGUUAUCACGGGAGACACACGGCGGGUGCUAACGUCCGUCGUGAAGAGGGAAACAACCCAGACCGCCAGCUAAGGUCCCAAAGUCAUGGUUAAGUGGGAAACGAUGUGGGAAGGCCCAGACAGCCAGGAUGUUGGCUUAGAAGCAGCCAUCAUUUAAAGAAAGCGUAAUAGCUCACUGGUCGAGUCGGCCUGCGCGGAAGAUGUAACGGGGCUAAACCAUGCACCGAAGCUGCGGCAGCGACGCUGAUGCGUUGUUGGGUAGGGGAGCGUUCUGUAAGCCUGCGAAGGUGUGCUGUGAGGCAUGCUGGAGGUAUCAGAAGUGCGAAUGCUGACAUAAGUAACGAUAAAGCGGGUGAAAAGCCCGCUCGCCGGAAGACCAAGGGUUCCUGUCCAACGUUAAUCGGGGCAGGGUGAGUCGACCCCUAAGGCGAGGCCGAAAGGCGUAGUCGAUGGGAAACAGGUUAAUAUUCCUGUACUUGGUGUUACUGCGAAGGGGGGACGGAGAAGGCUAUGUUGGCCGGGCGACGGUUGUCCCGGUUUAAGCGUGUAGGCUGGUUUUCCAGGCAAAUCCGGAAAAUCAAGGCUGAGGCGUGAUGACGAGGCACUACGGUGCUGAAGCAACAAAUGCCCUGCUUCCAGGAAAAGCCUCUAAGCAUCAGGUAACAUCAAAUCGUACCCCAAACCGACACAGGUGGUCAGGUAGAGAAUACCAAGGCGCUUGAGAGAACUCGGGUGAAGGAACUAGGCAAAAUGGUGCCGUAACUUCGGGAGAAGGCACGCUGAUAUGUAGGUGAAGUUGCUCGCGGAUGGAGCUGAAAUCAGUCGAAGAUACCAGCUGGCUGCAACUGUUUAUUAAAAACACAGCACUGUGCAAACACGAAAGUGGACGUAUACGGUGUGACGCCUGCCCGGUGCCGGAAGGUUAAUUGAUGGGGUCAGCGCAAGCGAAGCUCUUGAUCGAAGCCCCGGUAAACGGCGGCCGUAACUAUAACGGUCCUAAGGUAGCGAAAUUCCUUGUCGGGUAAGUUCCGACCUGCACGAAUGGCGUAAUGAUGGCCAGGCUGUCUCCACCCGAGACUCAGUGAAAUUGAACUCGCUGUGAAGAUGCAGUGUACCCGCGGCAAGACGGAAAGACCCCGUGAACCUUUACUAUAGCUUGACACUGAACAUUGAGCCUUGAUGUGUAGGAUAGGUGGGAGGCUUUGAAGUGUGGACGCCAGUCUGCAUGGAGCCGACCUUGAAAUACCACCCUUUAAUGUUUGAUGUUCUAACGU
rnacentral:rRNA from 1 species